rfam:Afipia sp. GAS231 genome assembly, chromosome: I
GGGAGCGGUUAUCCCUCCCCAUCGGCUAUAAUGUGCGCGAGCGCCCAUCCACCCCAAGCGCCCUUAUGGCUUGACCCGCCCGGUUGUCCCCCCGGGCGGGUC